AUACGUAGGGGGCGAGCGUUGUCCGGAUUUAUUGGGCGUAAAGGGUGCGUAGGCGGCCUUGUAAGUCAGAUGUGAAAGAUCAUGGCUUAACUGUGGUAAGCAUUUGAAACUGCAGGGCUUGAGUACAGGAGAGGAGAGUGGAAUUCCUAGUGUAGCGGUGAAAUGCGUAGAUAUUAGGAGGAAUACCAGUGGCGAAGGCGGCUCUCUGGACUGGUACUGACGCUGAGGCACGAGAGCGGGGGGAGCAAACAGUAUUAGAUGCCCUGGUAGUCCACGCUAUAAAGGAUGAGUGCGAGGUGUCGGGGGUCAAACCUCGGUGCCGCAGUUAACACAUUAAGCGCUCCGCCUGGGGAGUACGGCCGCAAGGCUGAAACUCAAAUGAAUUGACGGGG
rnacentral:rRNA from 1 species